UAUAGGCAAUUAAAUAAAAGAAAGAGAAAAAUAUUCCCAUUUAAUUUAUUCAUUAUUAAAGUAGGUAGAUGGAAUUAAAAAAAACAUGACCCAAACCAUUGAUCCAGAUCAGCUUAUACAUACAUAAGACGUAGCAUGCAUCUAUAGAUAUAUAGAUCAUAAGCUCUAUGUACAGCUUAUUCGAUCAUAUCUUCAAUGAAACCUCAUGACUAUUUGAUUAUCCACUGCGCUGCACUGUGCUGCGUGCAUGGGGAGCUAGCUAGGAGAGAGAAUUAAUAUCCCAUGCAUUCAUCUCAACUUUUGAAUCAAAUUAAAUCCUCCUCAUCAUUUCUCUCUUCAUGCAGAUGAUCAGACCAAUUAAGAAAUUCAAUGAAAGAAUAACCAAUGCAUCCAAUCUGUUGAAUAUCCAAAAUCUGCACCAUGGUAGUUGUUAAGUACCCAAAGUUAAUCCUAUAUAAUAUUUCCAUCUCUUCCAAAUUAUGAGUCAAACUUAAAAUUGAUAUAUAUAUAUAUAUAUAUAUAGGGUUUUAAUUCGUGGCAAACGGUUGUCAUAGGCACUGUUCAGCAACCAAGUUUACAUCCGUUGAUUCAUACACUUAAUGACUAAGAUUGGUCAAUUUUUCUCCCUGCCGCUACAGCUUGUAGCGGCAGUCCACAUCCCCCAAUCCGUGCUAGCAAUUCACGUUACUGCCCCUAACAAUUUAAUACAUGUCUGCUGCAGCAAUUUACGUUACUACCCCUAACAAUUUAAUACAUGUCUGCCGCUCCAGGCUAUGUGGCGGCAGUGUGGCAUAUUAAGGAUAUGGUUCAUUUGGUAAGAUAAUGUAAAGAUAAGUUUAUUUUUAUGUAUACAUAAUGUAAAAAUAAAAGAUAAUGUAAAAAUAAAUGCUAAUGUAAAGAUAAGUCUGAAUAAAAGAUAAAUUUAUUUUUAUCUAAAAAUAAGAUAAAUAAAUUUUAUAAUUCAAACUUAUCUUAUUUUUGGGAUAGAGGGUGUACCCAUGUAUACAUAAUAUAAAAAUAAGAUAAAUUUGAAUACAUGAGUAUCAUAAAAAUAAAUUUAUCUUUUAUUCAAACUUAUCUUAUUUUUACAUUAUGUAUACAUAAAAAUAAAUUUAUCUUUUAUUCAGACUUAUCUUUUAUUUUUACAUUAUCUUUUAUUUUUACAUAUGUAUACAUAAAAAUAAACUCAUCUUUACAUUAUCUUACCAAAUGAACCAUAUCCUUAAUAUGUAUGGAUGAAAGUCACACUGGCGUCACAGCCUGUAACGGCAUGCAUGUAUUAAAUUGUUAGGGGCAGUAACGUAAAUUACUAGCACGGAUUGGGGGGGUUGGGGGAUUGGGGGAUGUGGACGGCCGUUACAAGCUGUAGCGGCAUGGAGAAAAUUUGAUCAAUCUCAGCCAUUAAGUGUAUGGAUCAACGGAUGUAAACUUGAUUGUUGAACAGUGCCUAUGACAACCGUUUGCCAAUGAUUAAAACUCAUAUAUAUAUAUAUAUAUAUAUAUAUAUAUAUAUAUGCUAAAUUUGAGUGAAAUAUUAUAUUAUAUUAUAUACAGAUAUAGUACCUAUCAAACUCUGAACAGUCCUUCACUUGAUGAAUGAAGUCCCAAGUUGACAUCAUUUCCUUGGUCAGCUGGAAAAUAUUUGCAACAUAUAUAUAUAUAUAUAUAU
rnacentral:lncRNA from 1 species